GUAUUUUUUUCGUGUAAACACAGACACUACGGUGACGUCAUUUCCUGUUGCCUUCGCGCGCUUCUGGUCGCUUUCGAAAUGAGGAGGUGUUUGUGAUAAACAUUUCUGAAGUUGCUGUUGACGUCUGUACUGGUGCACAGGGCAUUCAAUCUGUACAGAUUCUGGACAGGGAGAACGAAUGGUACAAGAGGAGUGAGGGAAGCAAUCUAUGUCAAGAAUGAAAAACCAUCCCUGAACAAAGGAGGUGGUCUGCGACACCACCUGUCUCCCACAUACAACACUGUCCUUUCAACCACUCCUAAGAGACUAUGCAAUUCAGCCUCAAACAAACAAAUAAGAGUUGGAAAACAAAGGACAUUCUGGUCACAGAAUGUGACCAGAAUGUCAUUUGUUUACAACUGAAUGGAAUGCUUACGCGGGAUUUCAUCAAUUUUGGACUGGUGGUGGUCUAGCCCCAGGGAUUGCUCUGCCACAUAAUACCUCUAUGCUCACAAGGGCAAAUUACAGUUCGACUGUCGUUGGUUUUGACAGUUAAGAUUGCUUGAUUGCAUUAAAACAGUUGUUUUUGUCACUACGAUAAGGCAAAACCAUCUUUGCCGAGGAACACCCUUCUGGUUUUAACUUUAACAUUUGGGGUUUUGGCACCAGCUGCUAGACUAGAUGUGACCGAUUUAAGUCUAUGAGCACAAACUGAUGAAGCCUAAUCAGAUGAGAGGCAAAACAUCUUCUAAGACAAACCAAACAGUCCAGUUGCGAUUGAUUGAAUGCGCUGAGAUUAUGUGAAAAAAACCUUUUAAUAUUAGUCAUUAUUGGGGCUGUAGCUAUCGAUUAGUUUGUUCCAUUAAGAGAGUAAUCGGACAAACCACACUUUAUACUUGAGCACUUUAUAGCCUAAAUGCAUAUUUUUGUGAACUUCUUUGAAAUAAAAACAUUUUACGCUUGCCAUAACCUUCAUUCUUUUUUUUAAUAAACGCUAGGGGUGUAUCGGUACGCGUAUUUGUAUCAAACCGUUUCGGUACGGGGGUUUCGGUUCGGCACGUGGGCGUACCGAACAAGUUCGGAAGCAGAAGUCUUCACAAGCUGCUCUGCUUUCUGCCUCUGUCUCUGCCUCAUUGUCCCGCCCACACAACCAUCUGAUUGGUUACACACAAAGCCAAUCAGCAGUGCGUAUUCAGAGCAAUGUAACAGCCAAUCAGCAGUGCGUAUUCAGACUUCAGAACGAUGUAGUCAAUGCUUUAGCAUCGAGCAGAUAUUUGUCUAGC